GACGGAGGAGGCAAGCGUUAUCCGGAAUUAUUGGGCGUAAAGCGUCCGUAGGUGGUCAAUGAAGUCUUUUGUUAAAGGUUGGAGCUUAACUCUGAUAGAGCGGAAGAAACUGAUUGACUUGAGAGUGGUAGGGGUAGAGGGAAUUCCAGGUGUAGCGGUGAAAUGCGUAGAUAUCUGGAAGAACACCAGUGGCGAAGGCGCUCUACUGGGCCAUUACUGACACUGAGGGACGAAAGCUAGGGGAGCGAAAGGG
rnacentral:rRNA from 1 species